rnacentral:tRNA from 2 species
GCCCCCAUAGUUCAAUGGAUAGAACAGCUCCGUCCUAAGGAGUAGAUGUAGGUUCGAUUCCCGCUGGGGGCACCA